rnacentral:rRNA from 1 species
GAUGAACGCUGGCGGCGUGCCUAAUACAUGCAAGUCGAGCGAAUGGAUUAAGAGCUUGCUCGUAUGAAGUUAGCGGCGGACGGGUGAGUAACACGUGGGUAACCUGCCCAUAAGACUGUGAUAACUCCGGGAAACAGGGGCUAAUACCGGAUAACAUUUUGAACCGCAUGGUUCGAAACUGAAAGGCGGCUUCGGCUGUCACUUAUGGAUGGACCCGCGUCGCAUUAGCUAGUUGGUGAGGAAACGGCUCACCAAGGCAACGAUGCGUAGCCGACCUGAGGGGGUGAUCGGCCACACUGGGACUGAGACACGGCCCAGACUCCUAAGGGAGGCAGCAGUAGGGAAUCUUCCGAAAUGGACGAAAGUCUGACGGAGCAACGCCGCGUGAGUGAUGAAGGCUUUCGGGUCGUAAAACUCUGUUGUUAGGGAAGAACAAGUGCUAGUUGAAUAAGCUGGCACCUUGACGGUACCUAACCAGAAAGCCACGGCUAACUACGUGCCAGCAGCCGCAGUAA